rnacentral:rRNA from 1 species
UACAGAGGGUGCAAGCGUUAAUCGGAAUUACUGGGCGUAAAGCGUGCGUAGACGGUUAUGUAAGUCGGGUGUGAAAGCCCCGGGCUCAACCUGGGAAUUGCAUUCGAGACUGCAUAGCUAGGAUGCGGAAGAGGGAAGUGGAAUUUCCGGUGUAGCGGUGAAAUGCGUAGAUAUCGGAAGGAACAUCAGUGGCGAAAGCGACUUCCUGGUCCAGCAUCGACGUUCAGGCACGAAAGCGUGGGGAGCAAACAGG